GGAACUGAAAGUAGGAUCUCAAAGAGAUAUUGGCAUACCUGUGUUCUGAGCAGCACUAUUCACAUUAACCAAGAGGUAGAAGUAACCCAAAUGUCCACCAAUAGAUGAGUGAAUAAAAAAAAUUGUGUGUGUGUGUGUAUAUACAAAAAAAAAUGUGUGUGUGUGGUAUAUAUGUAUGUA